CUUGUAUCGCUUUGUUAACGUGGAUUGUGACUGUGCCCUGGUUCUUCCCUCUUGAGGGCUCUGGAGAUGGAGACAGGACUGGGUUGCUGUGCUCCUGAGCUGAUGACCUGGAGAAUGAGGUGGGCGUCAGCCAGAAGAAACAAGUCCUCAAAUGAGCACCAUUGAAAGCCUUGGGACUGAAGCUGGAGAGACAGCCCAGCGGUUAAGCGCCCUGUGCUGCUCUUCAAGAGGAUCCAAGUUUGGUUCCCAGCACCCACGUGGGAAGGCCUCAAGCUCCUGUAACCCCAUCUCCAGUGGAUCUGAUGCCCUCUUCUGGACUCCACAGCUACCCAUCUGCAUGUAUGCAUGGAAACACACACACAAAAAUAAAAUAAAUACUUA